rnacentral:rRNA from 1 species
CUGCCCAAGAGACUGGGAUAACACCUGGAAACAGAUGCUAAUACCGGAUAACAACACUAGACGCAUGUCUAGAGUUUGAAAGAUGGUUCUGCUAUCACUCUUGGAUGGACCUGCGGUGCAUUAGCUAGUUGGUAAGGUAACGGCUUACCAAGGCAAUGAUGCAUAGCCGAGUUGAGAGACUGAUCGGCCACAUUGGGACUGAGACACGGCCCAAACUCCUACGGGAGGCAGCAGUAGGGAAUCUUCCACAAUGGACGAAAGUCUGAUGGAGCAACGCCGCGUGAGUGAAGAAGGGUUUCGGCUCGUAAAGCUCUGUUGGUAGUGAAGAAAGAUAGAGGUAGUAACUGGCCUUUAUUUGACGGUAAUUACUUAGAAAGUCACGGCUAACUACGUGCCAGCAGCCGCGGUAAUACGUAGGUGGCAAGCGUUGUCCGGACUUAUUGGGCGUAAAGCGAGUGCAGGCGGUUCAAUAAGUCUGAUGUGAAAGCCUUCGGCUCAACCGGAGAAUUGCAUCAGAAACUGUUGAACUUGAGUGCAGAAGAGGAGAGUGGAACUCCAUGUGUAGCGGUGGAAUGCGUAGAUAUAUGGAAGAACACCAGUGGCGAAGGCGGCUCUCUGGUCUGCAACUGACGCUGAGGCUCGAAAGCAUGGGUAGCGAACAGGAUUAGAUACCCUGGUAGUCCAUGCCGUAAAC